UCCAAAAACAUAGCCAUUUAAAACUAUAAAAGGUGAGGCCUGGUCAGUGGGAAACUAAACACAUGUCUUAGCGUGAGGAUAGUAAUGUAUCAUAAUAAAUUGGUAUUUAAUUGGUGCCUUGAAGGAAAGGUAUAAUGAUUUUAACAUUGUCUCAUUUGUAUUUUUAGAAAAAUUUAAAUAAUAGUCAAGAUGCUAUUUGAAACUUAUAAGACGAAAAGACCCCAAAACCUUUACUAUACAAUAAGUUACAAAAUAAAGUAAAUUACUUUUGGUAGUUUAACUGGGAAGGUUAUCUUUUAUAAAAACAAAGAGAAUUAAAAUUAAUUACUUAAAUACUAGUAUUAAAUAAAAAUUGUUUAUAAAAAAAUAUUAACAAUAAAAAUAUUUGAAAAUAAGAUCAUCUGAGUGAUAUAUUUGAUAAGGUACUUUGGGGAUAACAGCGUUAUCUAGAAAAAGAGAAGACAUCAACUUCUAGGUUUGCGACCUCGAUGUUGAAUUGGGAUAUCCGUUAGAUAGCAAAAGUUUAAAAUGGUUAGAUUGUUCAUCUAUUAAAAUCUUACAUGAUUUGAGUUCAUUCCGUA
rnacentral:rRNA from 1 species